UACGGAGGGGGCGACCGUUGUUCGGAAUCACUGGGCAUAAAGAGCUCGUAGGCGGUGAGGAAAGUCGGGUGUGAAAUCCCUCGGCCCAACCGAGGAACUGCGCUCGAAACUGCCUUGCUUGAGGACGGAAGGGGACCACGGAAUUCCUGGUGGAGCGGUGAAAUGCGUUGAUAUCAGGAGGAACACCGGCGGCGAAGGCGGUGGUCUGGUCCGUUUCUGACGCUGAGGAGCGAAAGCUAGGGGAGCAAACGGG
rnacentral:rRNA from 1 species